CCUACGGGAGGCAGCAGUGAGGAAUAUUGGUCAAUGGGCGCGAGCCUGAACCAGCCAAGUAGCGUGAAGGAUGACUGCCCUACGGGUUGUAAACUUCUUUUAUAAAGGAAUAAAGUGAGGCACGUGUGCCUUUUUGUAUGUACUUUAUGAAUAAGGAUCGGCUAACUCCGGGCCAGCAGCCGCGGUAAUACGGAGGAUCCGAGCGUUAUCCGGAUUUAUUGGGUUUAAAGGGAGCGUAGAUGGGUUUUUAAGUCAGUUGUGAAAGUUUGCGGCUCAACCGUAAAAUUGCAAUUGAUACUGGCAGCCUUGAGUACAGUUGAGGUAGGCGGAAUUCGUGGUGUAGCGGUGAAAUGCUUAGAUAUCACGAAGAACUCCGAUUGCGAAGGCAGCUUACUAAACUGCCACUGACAUUGAUGCUCGAAAGUGUGGGUAUCGAACAGGAUUAGAUACCCGUGUAGUC
rnacentral:rRNA from 1 species